UGGGGAAUAUUGGACAAUGGGCGCAAGCCUGAUCCAGCCAUGCCGCGUGAGUGAUGAAGGCCCUAGGGUUGUAAAGCUCUUUCACCGGUGAAGAUAAUGACGGUAACCGGAGAAGAAGCCCCGGCUAACUUCGUGCCAGCAGCCGCGGUAAUACGAAGGGGGCUAGCGUUGUUCGGAUUUACUGGGCGUAAAGCGCACGUAGGCGGACUGUUAAGUCAGGGGUGAAAUCCCGGGGCUCAACCCCGGAACUGCCUUUGAUACUGGAAGUCUUGAGUAUGGUAGAGGUGAGUGGAAUUCCGAGUGUAGAGGUGAAAUUCGUAGAUAUUCGGAGGAACACCAGUGGCGAAGGCGGCUCACUGGACCAUUACUGACGCUGAGGUGCGAAAGCGUGGGGAGCAAACAGG
rnacentral:rRNA from 1 species